CUAUACAUGACUCUGCGCAUAUCAAUAAGCGGAGGAAAAGAAACUAACAAGGAUUCCCUCAGUAACGGCGAGUGAAGCGGGAAGAGCUCAAAUUUGAAAUCUUGAAAGGUCACCUUUCACGAAUUGUAGUUUAAAGAAGUGUUUUCUGUUACGAUCGUAAUAUAAGUUCUUUGGAAUAGGACAGUCACAGAGGGUGAGAAUCCCGUCUAUGAUUGCGAUUUGUAGCUUUGUGAUACACUUUCAAAGAGUCGGGUUGUUUGGGAAUGCAGCCCAAAACGGGAGGUAAAUUUCUUCUAAGGCUAAAUAUUGGCGAGAGACCGAUAGCGAACAAGUACCGUGAGGGAAAGAUGAAAAGAACUUUGAAAAGAGAGUUAAAUAGUACGUGAAAUUGUCAAAAGGGAAGCGUUUAACACCAGUGUUGUUUUCUGAAAAUCAACCUCUGUUAGCUUUAUGCAUGUUUGUUUAGACCUAAUCAGCUAUCUUUCAUGUUCUAUUGUUUGCAGUGGUGCACUUUUCAGCUUUACAGGUCAACAUCAGUUUUUUUUACCGUAAAAAAGUUAAAGAAAGGUAGCUCAUGGCUCCGGUCGUGAGUGUUAUAGUCUUUUUCCUAUGCGGUAGGAGAGACUGAGGUCUGCAGUGUAGGCUAUUUGGCUAGAUACUCAGGUGCUAUGUGAUACCAUUUCAUAAACAACUUGUUGAUUAUGUUUUGUCUAUUGCAUACUCGCUUGUACUAUCAUACCUACGCUUAGGAUGUUGAGUCGUAGAGCACGCAG
rnacentral:rRNA from 1 species